AGAGUUUGAUCCUGGCUCAGAUUGAACGCUGGUGGCAUGCUUAACACAUGCAAGUCGGACGGCAGCGAGGUAGUAGCUUGCUACUACUGUCGGCGAGUGGCGCACGGGUGAGUAAUACGUAGGAAUCUGCCUAGCAGUUUGGGAUAACCCAGGGAAACUUGGGCUAAUACCGGAUAUAUUCUGAGGAAGAAAGGGGGGGACCUAAGGGCCUCUUGCUGUUAGAUGAGCCUACGUCGGAUUAGCUAGUUGGUGGGGUAAAGGCCUACCAAGGCGACGAUCCGUAGCUGGUCUGAGAGGAUGACCAGCCACACUGGGACUGAGACACGGCCCAGACUCCUACGGGAGGCAGCAGUGGGGAAUAUUGGACAAUGGGGGGAACCCUGAUCCAGCAAUGCCAUGUGUGUGAAGAAGGCCUGCGGGUUGUAAAGCACUUUAAGUAGGGAGGAAAGGCUGAGCGCUAAUAUCGUUCAGAUUUGACAUUACCUACAGAAUAAGCACCGGCUAACUCUGUGCCAGCAGCCGCGGUAAUACAGAGGGUGCGAGCGUUAAUCGGAAUUAUUGGGCGUAAAGCGCACGUAGGUGGAUGGAUAAGUCAGAUGUGAAAUCCCUGGGCUCAACCUGGGAAUGGCAUUUGAUACUGUUUAUCUAGAGUAUGGGAGAGGGAAGUGGAAUUUCAGGUGUAGCGGUGAAAUGCGUAGAUAUCUGAAGGAACACCAGUGGCGAAGGCGACUUUCUGGCCUAAUACUGACACUGAGGAGCGAAAGCGUGGGGAGCAAACAGGAUUAGAUACCCUAGUAGUCC
rnacentral:rRNA from 1 species